AGGAAGCCACAAGGUCAUCAUAGGCUGACGCAAUUACUUAUCUACCCUUAAAUGACAUGUUAAUUUCUUUCGUCGGUGACGCGUCGUGUCCAGAUUGGUCUCACGACGAUACGUUUUGUCUGGGUCAGUACAGGAACCAGCCUGGGGUUUAGGUGAGGGUCCUUCUCGGAAGAGAAAUCUUGAGUUCAUUCCCCAAAACUUCCGCCCGCAAAGGUUCCAGUGGAGCCCACGGGUGAAGUGAUGCAUACCUCACCGUUGUCUCAGCAGAUCACGUUCGCGAGGGAGAUAACAAGUGGGUCGCGCAGUGGGUAGUAACUCUGAG
rnacentral:lncRNA from 1 species